AAUUUUUUUUUAAUUUUUUUGUAAAUAAAUAAAUAUUUGAGGGUAGAGAUUGGCAUGUCCAUGUAAUGCUGACUCAUUCGCAUUGAUUAAGCAAUUUUCAAACAUCUGUAUUUGUAAUUUCACAGUAUAUGAAGAAAUCUCUAGUACGAGCAAUGGUGAAACCUGAACUUUCGUUCUUUUGAUCAAACUCCAAGCUUUUUAUGAAUCUAUCUGUUAGCACGAGGAUGAUUGUCCACGAAGUGGAAAAGCUCUUGGAUUUCAGUUUAAUGUCAUAAGAAUCGAAUAGUUUUUAAAUUAAGUACAUAUUUAUGACAAUGGUCAGGUUGAUGAAAGUAUAUUAAACGUGGUCUAGGCAUGGCCAGGGAAGAAAAAGUCGGCGAAACAAUCGAUAUUUCGGCGAUAUUAUCGGGUUUUGACCAUCGACGACCCCGAUAGAGGGGGGUAAGAAAUAUCUGUCAGUGGUGCCGGAGAAAUCUCGAUGUUAUCGCAAAAUAUCAUGGGCAUCAUCUAAAAUCGAUGGAAAUCACAGGUUGCCGGUGGAUAAUUGUAGAAACACGACGAAAAUAUCGGUUAUCGGUUGAAAUUUGAUGGACAUCUCGACCCUCUCUUUCUCAUUUCUUUCAGUGAAGAUCUGCAACUGGGUUAGAUUUACUUUCUUUUUCCAGUUUCUCAGUCACAGGCAUCAUUUUUUCAGCAAGAUUUGUGUUCUCUAGCAAUCAAAGCCAGCAUAGCUCUUUCCCAAGUCAAAAAGAGAUUUCCAGGAACUUUACCAGUAAAUGGUUUUGGUCAAAGCCACUGCUUCGUGAUCUCUAGUAAUCUUGUUGGUUCCAUUUCCAUCGGGCAACCUGAGAUGCAAUUCGGUUUCUUCGUGAUCUCUGAUGUUUGAGAUGCAAUUAGUACUUCUCAUCCUCCACACCAAUCGUUGAUUGCCCCUAAUCAAUUUUCCCCUUUUCGAAUUUCUAUCUUUCUGUUUUUAUAUUUUUUAUUUUAUUUUUUUUUUUUAGGGAGUUUUGUUUUGGUUUUGUCCUGGUCGGUGAAGAAGGAUGCAAGGAAAAUAAGAAAAAAAGGGAAGUACAGAAAAGAGUAGGAGAAAAAGAAAAAAAAAAAGUGUGAAAGGUUUUGGAAGAGGACCAAAUGGUCCGAAUGUGUGAAGUCUUAUUGCAUGACAAGUGGUGUCCAUACUGUUUGUAUUCUUGCUAUUUUUUUUUUUUUUAAAUUAGCGAAGUUGGAUAGUUCCGAAUAAAUUGUAGAACUAAUA